rnacentral:pre_miRNA from 1 species
AGACUACAGCAAAUAUUUUGAUACUAUUGAUGACCUCCGGAAUAAGAUACUUUCUGCAACUAUUGAAAACUCCAAGUACAUUUUGCAGAUCGACAAUGCCAGGUUGGCAGCUGAUG